UUUUCCAUUUUGUUAGAUUUAUUUUUUAAAGGGUUACUUAAACAUUUUUUCCUCUUCCCCUUAAUUUAUUUAACACCAACCAGGCGAGAACAAUAGUGUUCUCGCGUGGCUCUGACGUCAUGUGACAGCUGCACAUCAGCGUCCUAAAUUGACAGCACAGUUUAUAUGGCUGCAAAUCGCAGCUUAGGCAGGAAACGCUGCGGGACUCUGAUGUGCAGCCGGGUGAUUACUCAACCAAACGUUGCAAGAAUCACGAUUAGUCAAGAGGGAACUGGCCAGGUGCGUUGCAGAUCCCUCGCGCAAGGAGUGGCUGGAGGGAUCUUGACAAUAGCAAGGAUUGUCUGGUUUCACUGACCAGACUGGCGAGCUAAAAUAAGCAGGAUACCGAAACACAAGACUUAUCAUCUGGGAAUAUUCUUCCGACCUAAUUGGAGGAUCAGCUCAAGUCCCCAUUGAAGGAAGUGGAUUAUUUUGGGUUUUUUUUUCAUCAUCAACAAAGACUGGUGGACGUCCUUGGUAUAAGGAACUUUAACUUGUUUUUCCUUUACACUAUGGACUAAUGUGUGUAUAUAUAUUGUAAAUACUAAAUACAACUCACCAAUUUGCACCGUCUUACUGUCUCUGUGCUUUACAAAUUGCCAUCUCCUCCAGUAGCCGAACCUAGCUAGACUUUAAGAACUGUUUGGAUAAAUUUUAAUUCGGAUUAUUUAA